rfam:Pseudomonas rhizosphaerae strain DSM 16299, complete genome.
AUGCUCCUAUGUUGUGUUAAGUGUUGGCAGAUAUCCGGACCCUCAGCGGUUCGGACCUUGAGCCCCAGACUUCCCCCUCCCCAUACGAAGUCCGGGGUUUUUUUUGCCUGGAU